GUUGUUGCGGUUAAAAAGCUCGUAGUCUGAGUUCUGUUCCGGACUGGUCGGGGAGGUCACCGCCCGGUGCUUCCCCGUCAGGUUCCGAACAGCCUCCGCCGCGAGCGGGGGCCAAGCCGGUUCUGCCGGGGUGCUCUUGACCGAGUGUCCCGCGCGGCCGGCCGGUUCACCUUGAACAAAUGAGAGUGCUCAAAGCAGGCUACUCUUGACACUAAAGCCCGAAUGUUAACUGCAUGGAAUGAUGGAAGAUGAUCUCGGUUCCAUUUUGCUGGGUGGUGGGAAUCCGAGUUAAUGAUAAACAGGGACUGUCGGGGGCAUCCGUACUACGACGCGAGAGGUGAAAUUCAGUGACCGUCGUAGGACGAACAACAGCGAAAGCAUUUGCCAAGAAUGUCUUCGUUGAUCAAGAACGAAAGUUAGAGGAUCGAAGGCGAUCAGAUACCGCCCUAGUUCUAACCCUAAACGAUGCUGACCAGCUAUUCGCCGUCGUUAUUCCCAUGACGUGGCGAGACGCCCCCGGGAAACCUCGAGUCUUUGAGUUCCGGGGGUAGUAUGGUUGCAAAACUGAAACUUAAAGGAAUUGACGGAAGGGCACCACCAGGAGUGGAGCCUGCGGCUUAAUUUGACUCAACACGGGAAACCUCACCAGGCCCGGACACCAGAAGGAUUGACAGAUUAAGAGCUCUUUCUCAAUUUGGUGGGUGGUGGUGCAUGGCCGUUCUUAGUUGGUGGAGUGAUUUGUCUGGUUAAUUCCGGUAACGAACGAGACUCUGGCCUACUAACUAGUGGGCGGGUGUUCCGGUAAGGGGCCCCGCCCGACAAUGUCUUCUUAGAGGGAUGAGCAGCGAGUAUAGCUGCAGGAGAUUGAGCAAUAACAGGUCUGUGAUGCCCCUUAGAAG
rnacentral:rRNA from 1 species